GGGGAGGGGGGAGUGUCUUAUUUGCCACUUGCAGUGGGCUUUCCAGCUACCUUUUCAACAGAGCCAAACUAACAGCUUCUAAGAGCCAGCAAUCAUUAAAGAUCUACACAUUGCUAUACAAUGGGUUGUCAAGAAUGAGGCACUGUUCUGUGGGCGCAUAACCAUGUUAUGUGUCAAUGAAUGAAGAUGACCGCCAGAAGGCCAUAGAUAACGUGAUGCAAAGAGAAGAACCAGAAGCAAUGGGGCCAUUCCUCUUUGUAUUUCAGCACAGAGAAGAUAUGGAGUUGUUUUUGCAGUCUUGACCAACAUGACCUCCAAGUUAAUGCCAUGUUCAACAAAUGACUGAAGGACAAGGGGUGGUGGUGUGUUUCUGUUUAAAUUAUUGAUAAUAAUAAAAAAAUAAGAUAAUUAACACCA